rnacentral:rRNA from 1 species
GACGAACGCUGGCGGCAUGCCUAAUACAUGCAAGUCGAGCGCAGGAAGCAUCAUGAUCUCUUCGGAGUGAAUGAUGUGGAAUGAGCGGCGGACGGGUGAGUAACACGUGGGCAACCUGCCCUGUAGACUGGGAUAACUUCGGGAAACCGAAGCUAAUACCGGAUAAUCAAAGGAACCGCAUGGUUCCCUUGUAAAAGUUGGGUUUUACCUAACACUACAGGAUGGGCCCGCGGCGCAUUAGCUAGUUGGUAAGGUAAUGGCUUACCAAGGCGACGAUGCGUAGCCGACCUGAGAGGGUGAUCGGCCACACUGGGACUGAGACACGGCCCAGACUCCGACGGGAGGCAGCAGUAGGGAAUCAUCCGCAAUGGGCGAAAGCCUGACGGUGCAAUGCCGCGUGAACGAUGAAGGUCUUCGGAUCGUAAAGUUCUGUUAUGAGGGGAGAACAAGUGCCGUGCGAAUAGAACGGCACCUUGACGGUACCUCACGAGAAAGCCCCGGCUAACUACGUGCCAGCAGCCGCAGUAAGAC